ACUGAAUCUAGUUCUUCGCUCGUUUAUGAUGCACCCGCUUUAGAAAAUAAUCUCUCGAAUGGUACGGAAGUAGCUACAAUGUUGACUUUCAAUUUGACUAAUUUUGAAAUUGUGGAAUACAGAUGUUGAUUUUGCCUCCAUCAUAAUAGCUGAUCUUCAAUUCUGGGAAGCUGGAAGAAUAUAUGGAUAACUAUGUUAAAUUCAAGUUAAUGAGAGGUCUGAAAAAAUGAAGGCUAUUGCACGUGUACUUGCAUCCAUCCUACUGCAGAAACUCCAUAAGAAUACCUUCCCGAUCUGUAAAUAACGUUUUUUUACUUAUUACAUAUUUUUGUACUUAACAUUGUUAUUCUGAGUAACUAAGGAUAUAUUUAAUCACUAACGCUCUAUUUUGCAUCAAUGCCAAAUCACUUUUAAUGAUGUAAUUUAGUUUUUACUAGCAUGAAAACAAUACUUUCUUAUUUUUUGUUGAAUCAAGUGAUUCAUAUUUUGAUCAAUAGGUCCUAGUUGAAUUUUGAAAAUUAGAGACAGUAAAACCCCAAUCUAACUUAUAUAAGUAAAACUAUUGGCUAUUUUGUCUAUAAAUCUACCUGUUAGCUUUAACACCGCUAACUUCAGCAAGAGUAAAACUUUCGGUGUUUUUAAUGUAAAAUGACACCAUAAACAUAUCCACGAGUGGUAAAAUGUCAGAUUGUUCUUUUACAAAACCUGCGUCAGUCAAAUAUUUUCGUUUUCUCCUAAUAUAAACGUUUUGACAACAAUAUCAAGACUGAGGUUGCAUAUAUACAUGCUCCGCAUUGAAGCUACCGCGACCGACGAGCCGCUUGACGUCACAACUGGUCCCAGCCGAUGACGGAGCGUUUCAAGAAUGAUUUCAAUUAUACAGUUUUUAAUUGCUUAUAUUAAUUACAUAUAAAUAAAAAAAUAGUUUUUUGGUCAA